rnacentral:misc_RNA from 1 species
GGGCGUUGGCGAGCAGUGCUUGUGCUUGUGUGUCGUACUUGAAGCCUUGGCUCCUGGAAUGGUCGGCUGCCCAGAUGAAGAUCCCGUAGAGCUUGCCCUGCGACUGCAAUGUCUGGCAAGCGCUGAGCGACGUGUUGAUGGGCACCGACGUGGUGGUGGGCGCCGUGGUGAAGCUGGCCAGGAUGUUGCCGCCGGGGUAGUUGACAAGCUGCUGGUUGAAGAAGUCGACGUACUGCGCCUCGGUCGUGCUGGCGCCGUAGGCGUAGAACUGGAAGUUGACGUAGUCUAUGACGCUUCCGUAGGUCGCCCACAGGGCCUGGUAAUGGCGCUGCACGUCGGCGUUGUCGAACGGGGCGAUGGACGCGAAGCUGAUCACCCCGUUGCUCUUGAGCGUGGUGACCAGGCGGCCGAUGCACUCGGCGAAGGUGGCCGGGUCGGCCUGGAACUGCUCGUAGUCGAUGUCGAUGCCGUCCAGGUUGUACUUCUGGAUGAUGGUGGUCAGGGAGGAGACGGCGUUCUGGACCCAGGAGUCGACGGAGGUGAUGUUGAAGAACACAGGGCGGUCGUUCACGGUGGCGCCGCCGAUGCUGACGGCCACCCGCACGUUCGGGUUGCUCUGCUUGAUGGCGGCCACCGCGGACGCCGUCAGCACCGAGUCCUGCCAGAAGAUGUUGAACUGGCCGUUGGUCGGGGUGGGCGGCUCCGUCGCGGUGGUGUAGUCGAUCACGAAGGCGAGGAUGUAGUCGAAGCGGACCCUCGGGUUGAUGGGGACGUCGGUGAACUUGACGCCGUUGAAGAUGGCGCCGAUGUAGUCCCGGAAGAGGUUGGAGUUCGCUGCUGUGGCCAUCGGGACAUGGACGUGGAGCGCUACAACAGCCGCUACAAGUACCAGUGCAAUGCGCUUCGAG